AUUUCAAGCAAAUCAUUAUGAGGAUGACACACACAGACUCUGGGGAGUUCAGAGAAAAACAAAGAUGAUUAAGAGGCCUUUUAAAGAUGACUUACAAGAAAAGGUACUUAAAGCUCUACAUGUUCCUUAACAUAGCAACCCAGGAGGCAAACAGGAAAACUACUCCUCCUCGCCACAAGGAUGGAGUAUUCCUGCCGGGGGCUUCAUGAUCUGUGGAAAGAGGGUAGAUUCGCAUCCCAGCUCCAUGUUUACAGGCCGUGCAAGUUUGGGCAAUGUGCUGACCUUCGUGUGUACCAGGAUAGCUGCAUCUCCCAGAGAAGCUGCAUUCUUGUCUGCGUGGUCUGUGCAAACAGCCUUAUUGGGGACACUUGUUGUUGUCCCACUCUGCCAUCAGGCAUGAAGCCCAUUUAAUUCAGGAAUACAGUAUCAGCAAGCUCAUCUGUCCACAGAUCUAAAAUCUCUCUCUGCA
rnacentral:lncRNA from 1 species